rnacentral:piRNA from 1 species
GCAGGAAUUAGCUUAUGCCACAGCAA